rnacentral:rRNA from 1 species
CCUACGGGAGGCAGCAGUGAGGAAUAUUGGUCAAUGGCCGUAAGGCUGAACCAGCCAAGUCGCGUGAAGGAAGAAGGAUCUAUGGUUUGUAAACUGCUUUUAUAGGGGAAUAAAGGUAUCUACGUGUGGAGAUUUGCAUGUACCCUAUGAAUAAGCAUCGGCUAAAUCCGUGCCAGCAGCCGCGGUAAUACGGAGGAUGCGGGCGUUAUCCGGAUUUAUUGGGUUUAAAGGGUGCGUAGGUGGUUUUUUAAGUGGGCGGUGAAAGUUUCUGGCUCAACCAUAAAAUUGCCGUUGAAACUGGAAGGCUUGAGUGCGUUGGAGGUAGGCGGAAUGCGUGGUGUAGCGGUGAAAUGCAUAGAUAUCACGCAGAACUCCGAUUGCGAAGGUAGCUUGCUAAAGCAUAACUGACGCUGAAGCACGAAAGCGUGGGGAUCGAACAGGAUUAGAUACCCUUGUAGUC